rnacentral:rRNA from 1 species
AGCGAACGCUGGCGGCAUGCCUAACACAUGCAAGUCGAACGAGACCUUCGGGUCUGGUGGCGCACGGGUGCGUAACGCGGGGGAACCUGCCCUUAGGCUCCGAAUAACUCCCCGAAGGGGGUGCUAACACCGGGUAACUUCUUCGGACCCAAGAUUCAUCGCGCUUGGAUGGGCCCGCGUUGGAUUAGCCUGUUGGUAGGGUAAAAGCCUAUCAAGGGGUGACUCCAUAGCUGGUUUGAGAGGAAGAGCAGCCACUCUGGGACUGGGACACGGCGCAGAAUCUUACGCGAGGGAGCAGAGGGGAAUAUAGGACAAUGGGCGAAAGCAUGAUGCACUUAUGCCGCGUGAGUGAUGAAGGCCUUAGAGUAGUAAAGCUCUUUUACCCGGGAUGAUAAUGACGGUACCGAAAGAAUAAGCACCGGCUAACUUCGUG